AACUCUCGGCAACGGAUAUCUCGGCUCUCGCAUCGAUGAAGAACGUAGCGAAAUGCGAUACUUGGUGUGAAUUGCAGAAUCCCGUGAACCAUCGAGUCUUUGAACGCAAGUUGCGCCCGAAGCCGUCAGGCCGAGGGCACGCCUGCCUGGGCGUCACGC
rnacentral:rRNA from 1 species